CGUAGGGGGCGAGCGUUGUCCGAAGUUACUGGGCGUAAAGCGCGCGUAGGCGGGGGAUUAAGUGAGAGGUGAAAGGCUGGGGGCUCAACCUCAUGCAGUGCCUCUCAUACUGGUCUUCUUGAGGGCGGUAGGGAGAAGUGGAAUGGCUGGUGUAGCGGUGAAAUGCGUAGAUAUCAGUCGGAACACCGGUGGCGAAGGCGGCUUCUUGGGCCGUUCCUGACGCUGAGGCGCGAAAGCUGGGGGAGCGAACGGGAUUAGAUACCCCGGUAGUCCCAGCCGUAAACGAUGGAUACUAGGUGUCGGGGGUAUCGACCCCCCCGGUGCCGCAGCUAACGCAUUAAGUAUCCCGCCUGGGGAGUACGGCCGCAAGGUUG
rnacentral:rRNA from 1 species